rnacentral:rRNA from 1 species
GACGAACGCUGGCGGCGUGCCUAAUACAUGCAAGUCGAGCGAAGCGAAGAGAGCUUGCUCUCGGAGCUUAGCGGCAAACGGGUGAGUAACACGUGGGCAACCUGCCUCACAGACCGGGAUAACUUCAGGAAACUGGAGCUAAUACCGGAUAGGAUCGCGUUCCGCAUGGGACGCGAUGGAAAGUCUGCGCGACACUGUCAGAUGGGCCCGCGGCGCAUUAGCUUGUUGGUGGGGUAACGGCCUACCAAGGCGACGAUGCGUAGCCGAACUGGGAGGGUGACCGGCCACACUGGGACUGAGACACGGCCCAGACUCCUACGGGAGGCAGCAGUAGGGAAUCUUCCACGAGGGGCGAAAGCCUGAUGGAGCAACGCCGCGUGAGUGAUGAAGGUGUUCGGAUCGUAAAACUAUGUUGUUAGGGAAGAAUACCCGGGAGAGGAUCCCGGUUUGACGGUACCUAACGAGGAAGCCCCGGCUAACUACGUG